UGAAUACAGGAAGAGAUUUUAAUACACUGCGGCACUGUCUGUCAUAGGGGAAGCAUUGUAUGAUGAGAGACGUACUGCUGAAGAGAUCUGUGGAUGUUUAUAUUGUUAUCGUCAUUAACACGAAAAACUCUACUCCAGAGAUUCUCAAGUAAUAUUUCGGGGAAGAUAAAGCCACAGAAUACAAGUACAGAAUCCCUGAGGACAUAGUUUGUAAAACUAUCACAGUGGGCAGUGAUGGUGUGAGGGACAGGAAGAACUUCCUUAAGGCUUUCUAUGAGGGAGUGCAGAAAGGUCAGGACAGGGUGUGUUGGUUGUCGAGCUCCCAGUUAGACGGGAGUACCACGGAACAGUACCAGGACUAUCUAGGGAGUGAGAGUACCAGACAACAGAACCAGUCCCAGGACAGCAACAACGAGGUCAAGCUGUUACGUUCAUCAUCCACACCCAUGUAAAUAGCUGUUACAACUAACCCCCCUAGGAUUUAGACUGUAUAAAUUAGCUGUUACAACUAAACCCCUGGGAUUUAAUUUGUAUAAACAAGCUGGUACAACAACCUCCCCUAAGAUAUAUACCAUGUAGAUCAGAUCUGUAGUGUGUAUAAUGUGUACCGAUUAAUUUCUGUCAUUAGCAUCAUUGUUUUCAGUGCAUGCUCUAUGUUGACUUCUUAUAUAAUUAGAAUGUACUUUAUUCCAGUUUAUUGUAAAUUACAGUCAUUUAACUUGGGUGCUUUUUUAACAGUAUUACUUGUUCUCUUAAAUAACUUGAAUAAAACUGAUUAAAAUAAAUGUCAACUUUCUUACAGUAAUUUUCUGUAAACCUAAUUGGAUCAAUAUUGAUCUGGAAUUUAAGAGCGCCUGAUAUGGAUCCUUUUUAAUGUAGUUAUAAAUGUAUUUUUCAAGAUCUGUUCAGACCUGUUAAGAUGGUGUUCUUUAUUUCAGUGUGUUGUAUUAAUUGUUCCACAUAUUGGUCUCAGCUUUAACUACGUGUUCACUGUUAAUUAUUAUGAAUUGUAUUUGUUGAUUCGCUAGGUACUAUGAAAGCCAGUAGUGGUUGUUUAUUAAUGUUCAAUUUUUCAUAGUUUAUUUCUAAUCUUAGGAUUUUUUUGAAUAUUUUUAGAUCAUGUUGACACUUUUGUAAAUUUUAACUUUUACCUGUAUAUUAUAAGAGAUUCUGAGAGUUGUUGU